UGGGAAUGUUAGAACCUCACCUACCUGGACC
rnacentral:piRNA from 1 species